AAUGCACAACACUUGCAGACUCUCCCUCCACACAGAGAAGCAAAGAAACCACACCACAGUCGUAGGGGAAGGGAGAGGAGGGAGGGUGGCUUCUGCUGGGUUGCCAUGUGCU
rnacentral:precursor_RNA from 1 species